ensembl:ncRNA Y41E3.459 ncRNA
GAUGAAAAACGGCUGAAAACGCGAAAUUUCUUUGUGAAAUUGAAUCACGCGAAAAAUGACGCUUUGCGCGAAACUUGUAACCGUUGCUGACGCGUUUCUCGUGCGCUUGGCGUGUUUUUCGUGCAUUUGAAUUUUUUUGGCGGGAAAU